rnacentral:rRNA from 1 species
AGCGAACGCUGGCGGCAGGCUUAACACAUGCAAGUCGAACGGGCGUAGCAAUACGUCAGUGGCAGACGGGUGAGUAACGCGUGGGAACGUACCUUUUGGUUCGGAACAACCCAGGGAAACUUGGGCUAAUACCGGAUAAGCCCUUACGGGGAAAGAUUUAUCGCCGAAAGAUCGGCCCGCGUCUGAUUAGCUAGUUGGUGUGGUAACGGCGCACCAAGGCGACGAUCAGUAGCUGGUCUGAGAGGAUGAUCAGCCACAUUGGGACUGAGACACGGCCCAAACUCCUACGGGAGGCAGCAGUGGGGAAUAUUGGACAAUGGGCGCAAGCCUGAUCCAGCCAUGCCGCGUGAGUGAUGAAGGCCCUAGGGUUGUAAAGCUCUUUUGUGCGGGAAGAUAAUGACGGUACCGCAAGAAUAAGCCCCGGCUAACUUCGUGCCAGCAGCCGCCGUAAC